rnacentral:rRNA from 1 species
GAUGAACGCUGGCGGCGUGCCUAAUACAUGCAAGUCGAGCGAACAGACGCGGCGCUUGCUCCUCUGACGUUAGCCGCGGACGGGUGAAUCACGCGUGUAUAACCUACUUAUCUGUCUGGGAUAAUUACGGGAAACCGGAGAUAAUCCCGGAUAAUAUAUUGAACCGCAUGGGUCGAUAGUGAAAGACGGUGUUGCUGUAUGUUCUAGCUGCUUAUCGGCGGCUUUAGCUGGUUGGUAGGUUAACAGCCUAUCAAGGCUACGAUGCGUAUCCGACCUGAGGGAGGGAUCGGCCACAUGGGAAGUGGAACGCGGUCCAGACUCCUACGGGAGGCAGCAGUAGGGAACCUUACGCAAUGGGCGAGAGCCUGACGGAGCAACGCCGCGUGAGUUAUGAAGGUCUUCGGAUCGUAAAACUCUGUUAUGAGGUAAGAACAAAUGUGUAAGUAACUAUGCACGUCUUGACGGUACCUGAUCAGAAAGCCACGGCUAACUACGUG